CUUAGGCUUUUAUAUAUAAAGAAUAAACUUGUUUAAUUAGACCGGCUUUCUGAUUUAGCUAACCUUUGUCCAGCCCAGUGAAGCCCCCCAACUCUCUUUCAGGCAAUUGUCAGCAACACAGCAGUAAAUAUCAACAUGAAGCAUAUUAUUAUUGUAGAUCACAUAGGGAGA